rnacentral:tRNA from 1 species
AUUUAAAUAGUCUAUAUAGGGCAUCACUUUGAAGUUGUGAAAGAGGUAAUCCUUUAAAUA